rnacentral:rRNA from 1 species
UACGUAGGGUGCAAGCGUUGUCCGGAAUUAUUGGGCGUAAAGAGCUCGUAGGCGGUCUGUCGCGUCGGCUGUGAAAACCCGGAGCUCAACUCCGGGCCUGCAGUCGAUACGGGCAAACUGGAGUGUUGCAGGGGAGACUGGAAUUCCUGGUGUAGCGGUGAAAUGCGCAGAUAUCAGGAGGAACACCGGUGGCGAAGGCGGGUCUCUGGGCAACAACUGACGCUGAAGCGCGAAAGCCAGGGGAGCGAACGGG